GGUCUGCAACCUCUCUCACAAAUAAGAUUUGGUACUUUCUGUGGGGUUGUAAGAGCCACUUUGAAUUUAAAGGGUAAAUACUACUACAGGAAAAAGGCUCAGUCUAAUUAUGACUACUGUAAUUCAGCUAUUUUCUUAUGUCUAGAGCCUACCCUUGGUUAACAAGCACCUUCCACACCAUAUAUUACAGGCAUUAUCCUACCUUGAAGUUACAGCAGGAUAUAAAAGAAUUGAAAAAGAGCACUGUAAUAGUCUGGGGAUAUCUCCCCAUAGGCCUUGACCAGGACUUUAGAAGAAUCUGCCACAUGGCACCAGAAAUUCCCUUGUCUAAUUAAAAAGUUAUGUGCUAGGCCAGGACUUUUAAAUCAGUAACAGUAGCAUAACUAAGGAGAGGCAACUAGGACACCAUUUCUGGGCAACCACUUGGGAGGGGGUGGUGCAAAAACAGCAGUCACGGCAGCUGCUGCCCCAUGCAGCACCACCACUUCCAGCUGCACAGACCUGCCCAGUUAACCUCUGAUCACUAGUGCUUUCACUGUAAGUUGAAAGCUUAUACGGACCUUUUUUCAUAAAAGCAUGCCUAUAUGGGAAACCACGUAACAGUGGGUUUAAAGUUAGGCAUGGGCUUAAAUAGCUUGAUUAAUGAAAAUGGACUUAAGCACAGCAGUGUGUCCCUGAGUUAGGCCCAAGGUGCAGAAACAAGCACUAAAGCUCAUAUGUACCUAUCCAUAAAGUAUCCAUUACUGCCACUAUCGGAAACAAGAUACUGGGCUAAAUGGAUGAUUGGUCUGACUUAGAAUAGCACUUCUUAUGUUCUUAAGUGAUGAGUUCUCAGAAAGAAGGCAGGGUAGAUUUGCACCUUCUACCGGGCUUCAGACUCACAUGUCUAACUACAUCUCUGCUCAUGAAUACUAAAUCAUAUUCAGAAAAGAUGCUUGGAGGGUUAGCCUGCCCUACCUUUUGAUUGCAAUUUCCACACAUUUAGCUGUUGCUUUUAGCAGUUGUAAAUUCAGUCCCACAAAUGAUGACAAUGCUUUUAGAUGCAAUACAGCUUACUGGGUUUUUGAAAGGUGCUGGUUUUCUAUAACCUUUUCUUUUGUUUUGCAUAAAACACUUUUUAUGCCAUUUUGGUUGUACACCAAUAUAAUUAUAUUUUGAAUUAUUUUAUUUUUUGUAUAACUUAAUCCUCUGUCUAGUGGGGAGAAAUCUUGAGUUUAUCCCUGUGCAAUUCAAUGCUUUGAAGAUCAGAAUCUAUCCUUUUGGUGUACACAGUAGUUCCCUCAAACUUCAGCAGGAGCUUUGAGUUUAUAGCAUUAGGUGACAUCAUGACUCUCUGCAGCACAGGGCUGUUAUCAUUACCUCACCUCAAUAUAUAUUCAUUUAUAAUAACAAUAUUUUGCUACUUAAAUAUGUGUAGAUUAGUGUAAAUAUUUCUGUAAAUAUUUGUGUAUAUACAGAUGUAUACACACUCAUCCCCUUUUCCUCACAAAACACUUUACAAAUAUUAAUUAAGCUUCAUAAAAUUGCUGUAGAUUAUUACUGUACCCAUUUUAUAUAAACGUGUAAACUAAGCCACAGGUAUUUUAAAUGAUUCGUCUUUGAUCACACAGUCUUAAAGUCUCGACUUGCACUCUCAUGCUCUGACCCCAACAGCAACUCUUUAUCCUGCCAUACAUGGCAUAAAAAUGGGUUAAGAGGGUUUACUGUUCUUACAGGUAUGAGGAAUAUAUGUCAUGGUAACAAGUGUAAUACCAGAUAUAUUUUCACAGUUAUGUAUGUUAUAUAAAAAAAACUCAAAAUGUAUUGUGUAAGGUCAUAUGGACUGUGUGGCAAUAUUACUGAUUAUAUUGCACAUUGCUUUUGUUCAUUUCUUAGUUUAUUUUAAUUACAGCAGCAUCCACAAAGUACUAGGUGCAGUCCAAACACAUUGUGUGACAUAGUCUUUGCCAUUAAGUGAUGAUCUAUCUCUUCUGUACACUUUUUCAAGAUUAUUGAGGUUCUGAAAAAUAAUUUUACUUUACUAUAACACAAAAUCGCAUCUACAUGCGGACAGUCCUGCUGAGCACUGACAACUAGUCGCGUCUCUGCUGCCAUUUUAAAAGCAAUAGUGGCAGAGAUGCAAACCUCUGAUAGUGCUCAGCAGGAUGGAUCAAAUACAGAAAGGCAAUUUCUGCACAUUGAACAAUGGAGUAAGCUAAAAUCCAGUUCCUAUCACCAGCCUUUAUGACGGAGAGGUAUUUCAAAUUGAUAUUUACCUUCGGCCUUUAUUAAGGUCCUGUGCAAAUGAGCCUGCUGAUUUCUGAUCUGUGUGAUGGUGUCUAUCACAGUGUAGGUAUUUUGUGGCAAAAAAUAUGGAAAUAUAAUAACAUAGAACUUAAGGUGUAUAGAGAGUUGUUUAAUUUUACACAACUAUGUUACUGGGGAUUUUAAAAAUCAUAAUCCUUUAAUAGAGAAUUUGUAUUAAAAAUAUUCAUUCUGCUUAGUAAUUGGAAUUAUCAUUAACUGGAAGUUUAAAAACACGGCCUUACAUGUUCAUAUUGGUGCUCUUUGAAUGAAGAUCUCCCCCUUCCCAUACAGAAGCUUCAGGUCUUUUUCAGUACUGUCCUUCCCACCACAAUACCCUAUGGGGUGACAUCUAUAGGGGUCAGGAAUCAAUACAUGGGGAAUAAAGGAAAAAGGUGCAUUUACAACAUAUAUCAUUCUUCCCCAGCAGCCAGUGGGAAAUCUGAAGUUAGGGCCCUCCAGCCAGUGGAACUUUCUUCAAAGGCAGGAGCUGGCCAGCUGAGGGCUCAGUAGCAUUGAUGCUUGAGGCCUCUGUGCUGAUGACUGUGACCUUCAAUAAAUAGCCUGAAAUCAGUGAUGGUCUCAAGUGAUCUGAAAGUCCCAGAGGGCAAGCUCCCUUUUCUCUCUGUUGGGUUAGGGGGAGGAAACACCUCCCUUUUCCUUCUAUAGAACAGAUGGAGGGUUUGGCUCCUUGAAGGUAUGGGGGAACCUCACAAGAAAAAAUAACAUGACACUUUCUUCCCCUACUAGCUUUCUACAGGGUUUUCCAUGGGAAGAGGCAAUCUGGCUCAAAGAGAUGAACAGUAACUCCUGCCCCUGCCCCCCACCCAGAGAUAAAUGAUAAUUUUUCAAAAGCAAGUAAAAUUUAGGACCUUAAAUCCCUUUAAACCCACUGAGUUCUGAAGAAAAUGCCCAAUUUGGUGUCAUUCAGUUCUUUCUCUAGGAAAAAAAAUAAUUGCUGAAGGUUAAACAAUUAUAGCUUAUGAAUGGCCAACAAUUGUUUAUGGACAUAAUAUGAGCCUUGGUUUUGAUACUGGUUUAGGGUAGCAAAGUUGAAAAAAUACCCCUGGUAUUUUCCACUACUGAGCAAAACAUUUAAUUUUGUUAGCCCCCAAAAUCUGCAAAACGUUGGCUGGGUCAGCUGAAUCCUUCAAAGACAUAUUUUUUGCAGUCCAUAGUGGUGUAAGGGUAAGUGACACAUCAUUUAAUGAAGAACUAUACAAAAACCCUCUGGGAUUAUUUACAGCCAUUACAGCAGUAAUACAGUAAAGUUCAACAGCACAAGGAUGAUAUAAAAAUUGCUCUUCCCAUCUACCACAGUUUAGUGACACUUCACAUCCUUGAUAGCUGUAACUACUACUGAAAUGGGGGAAUCUUAGGAUUCAUGAGGAUUCUUUCAACCAGCUAAGGAUCCAAAUCUGGGACACAGGAUGGGGAAAUGACACAGAAGGAGGGAAACAAAGAAAAUGGUGUUAGAAGAUGUGUACAAUAAUAUUAUUCCUUUGGUCUAGCACCAUCCUCUGUAGCAUCAACUGCUUCAUUAUGUAUAUCUGUUCUAAAUCUCUUGCAGUUAUAAGUGAGAUAACAGCAGGCCUAUGUGAAGAGGAAGAUUCUUUCUGAAAGCAGGGAGCUUUCUGAUAAGGAAAAAUGGGAGGAUAUGGUACAACACAUUUUUUAGGCUGCCAGAAAACAAGUGAAGAUGCAUUGGCAUCCUUUUGCAAGUUAAAGAGAAAGACAAUGAGCACUGGCUUUCAAGGAAACACCCCCCUGGCGUGUAUUUUAAUGACAAGAGUCUUGUUAUUAGCUGGGAAGUGUAGUGCUCAUGGAUUUCACACCAGCUAAAACUUUCUGUAAGUGCUCUCCAGUCUCCUUUCAUGUGCAUUUCAUUCAAGGGCAUACUUUUUUUUUGUUUGGACGAUUGGAGAUUUGACAACAGAAGAACAAAGCUAUAAAUGUGAGGGUGCAAUAUAUCAUGAGAUAAAGUGUGGAGAACAUGUCCUCUACCAAAAUGCCCCUUGGUGGAAGAAAAAAACCAAAAUGCCUAACAGAAGGAGUAAAAAAAAAUGAAGUGCACCUUCCCAAGGUAUCAGAUGUGGCAGAAAGUUGAAAGGUUACGUUUGUAAAAGUGCAGCUGCUUCCCUACUCUUUGAUUCAGGCUUCUGCAUGGCAAAGACUCGAAACCAAAAGACAAAUCUGACAAUAUGCUAAUCUUCCAAUAAAAAAAAUGUGACUUCUGAACCCUUAUCUGUUGAAGAGCUGACAGUGAAGUUCAGAGACGGUUGUCUAACCAGACAAAACGAUAGAGAAAAUAUGCCUUCAAACAAGAUCAUAAAUCUUGAACAGUGCAGGGGAACAAAUGCAAAGGGAAUGGUUUACCACUAAUACCAUUUACUAGCCUGACUUUCUCCCUCUCCCCUCCACCCCACAACCAGCCCCAUGACACACAGAGGCAGGGUGUGCCCUGUCAAACCAACAUAAAUCCAAGGGUUGGGGGGAGAAAAAAAGUGACAAUAUAUAUCGAGUAUGGAGAUCGGAUGUUAUUUUCCUCACAACCAGGUGGAGGGGGGAAGGCAGAAAACAAAUAUAGUGCAACCUGAAUACAACAGCAUAUACCCAGACACACACACAAAAAGUUUGCAUAUGGCACAGGGCGCUUGAAGAUCAUAAAUCUAUGCAUGAGAAAGAUGUAGUGGAAAUUUUUGGGGGGAUUAGAGUUUAUUUUUGUCAUCUCUGUGAGACAGCUACUCAUUCAUCCAGAUCACAGCUAAGAAAAAAGCUGGUCACAGAAAUUAGCAGUUUCAGCUCAGCAGCAAAGUCGCCAGCCUGUGAAGGCAGAGAGAAAUUGACUAAUUAGCAAUGCGCACUAAAACUUGACGGUUCUUUAUAGAGAGAGAGAAGAGAGAGAGAGAGAGAGAGGGAGAGAGGGAGGGAGGCGGGGGGGGGGCUCGCUUUUUCCCCUUCUUUCUUCCAAAGAUGUUUGAAAUCGCAGUCAUUUACGCUCGACAAUUUUUACAAUAGCCUUGAGCCAUAAUUUUGCGAGUCUCUCCAGCAUCCAUCCCCCUGUAUGGUCUCUCUCCACUGGCCAUGCACGACCGUUUCUCUCCCCAACCGUGGAUUUCCUAUUACUCUCGUUACGACUCACUGAGCCCCAGGCCCAAGGAUAAUGAUGUGUUGUUUCUUGGUAGCAUAAUUUGUCACACGUACAUUUUUUCUUCUUCUUCUCUUGCAGAAAGCUCUGCGCUCUCUCUCUCUCUCUUUCUCUCUCUCUCUCCCCUUCUCUCUCUCGUACAUUUUCUUGCUGUUGCUAAUUCAUGGUGAUCAAAUGAUGUACGACAAAAUAAAUUGUAAAGAGUGACUGCUCCGA